AUUGAACGCUGGCGGUAGGCCUAACACAUGCAAGUCGAGCGGAGCGGCGGACGGGUGAGUAAUUCCUAGGAAUCUGCCUGGUAGUGGGGGAUAACGUCCGGAAAAGGACGCUAAUACCGCAUACUAUCAGAUGAGCCUAGGUCGGAUUAGCUAGUUGGUGGGGUAAAGGCCUACCAAGGCGACGAUCCGUAACUGGUCUGAGAGGAUGAUCAGUCACACUGGAACUGAGACACGGUCCAGACUUCUAAGGGGGGCAGCAGUGGGGAAUAUUGGACAAUGGGCGAAAGCCUGAUCCAGCCAUGCCGCGGGUGGGAAGAAGGUCUUCGGAUGGUAAAGCACUUUAAGUUGGAAAGCGGUACCCAAAGAAUAAGCACCGGCUAACUUCGUGCCAGCCGCCGCGGUAAUUC
rnacentral:rRNA from 1 species